UCCGUUAUGGUGUAGUGGCUAACAUUAUCGCCUCUCAAAAGUUCAUUCCAGUGCAGGAUGAUUGUGAGCGCGAUAGCCCAGGGUUCGAUUCCCUGUAACGGAA